AGCAACUGAAUGCCUGGGUGGAUCAAGGUGGUGAUCUCUUUUCGUCCUGUAGCAAAGUAGACUUGUGGGUGUGGUCUGCCUUCACUGAGAUGGAAAUAAGAAAUUACAACUAGAGACCAUCAGAUCUGUAAGGCCUGGAGAGCCACGCAGAAGGAUGCAGACUGGUCAUCGGGCAGGAGUAUUGGUGCACAGAUGGCCAGUAUUGGAGGCUGAGACUUGAGAGAUGUCAAACAUCUGAGUGGGAUGGGAAAAAAUGAAGCUGAGAGUGUUGCAAUGAACUUCCCAAGGUCAUUCAUCUGCUCUGAGGAGUCCCCGCUGUGCCUGUGAUUGAUUUCGCACAACACAGCUCUCCAGCCACAUUCAUUUCUGCCAGAAGCCGAUGUUCUUGCUCACCAUGGCUGUGUUAAAUCCUCAGCACCAUAGAAGAUGCUCUCUGUCUGAAUGCUGGAAAUAAGUUGAAUCUUUGAAUUAAAGUCAUUUUGCAAAAUGGAUGCUAGGAGGACCAUCUCUGAAAUCAUAAAAACUAGAUAUCUUGUCACUGAAGAGUUUGCCUCAGGCCAUUUCUCUGAGAUGUUACUAUCUAGCAAACAAACCAGUUCUGGGGAAAGUGAGUGAGAUGGCAUUGAUCUAUGUGUAAAAUUGCCUCUUUUUCCCUCUUAGAGAAGCUAUAACAUAGACAGCAUCUGCAGCAAUCGGGUAGAUUUUUGUUUGUGUGUAAUAUACUGUGUUGAAUAUUCAUUUUUGCUGAACAGUGGG
rnacentral:lncRNA from 1 species